rnacentral:antisense_RNA from 1 species
CUUUCGCGUCCGCGGCGCUGUGAGUGUGGUGGUUCCGCAGGUUGCAGUCAGGCUUCGUACGCUAUUGUCCUUCCCGUGAGUUCCCGUUUUGUGUGUGGUUAGAGCAGCCAGCGGGUACAGAAUGGAUUUUGGAGGAGGGAGUCACCACUGGACCUCCAAGGAAGCCACGUGCAGACAUCUACAACCUUCGAUCUCUUGACGAGUUUAUUGUUGGCUAAAACCAACCAGGAUGAAUGCGGGCGUUGGAAGUAGAAUAUAUACAUAUACAUAUAAAAUUGGUUGGGAGCCACGUGUACCAGUGUGUUGAUCUUGGCUUGAUUCAGUCUGCCUAGUAACAGAAACUGGCGAUGGUAUAUGAGAGGAGCCCUCUGGAAAGAAAAGGACAGACCCUGUGCUUUCAUGAAAGUGAAGAUCUGGCUGAACCAGUUCCACAAGGUUACUGUAUACAUAGCCUGAGUUUAAAAGGCUGUGCCCAUUUGAAGAAUGUCAUUGUUAGACUUUGGUGAAAUUUCUAACUGCCUACCUGGAUAAAGAAAAUAAAAUCUUUUAAAUCAAAA